AGCUUUGCACAGUGGCAGUAUCGUAGCCAAUGAGGUUUAUCCGAGGCGCGAUUAUUGCUAAUUGAUUUGAGGAAGGAUUUCUAAUUAACAUCUGUUUUCUGGUUUCCAAUUACCCAUUAAAUAUUAAUGUAAUUAAAUCUUACCUAAAAGA
ensembl:snRNA U4 U4 spliceosomal RNA